GUCAGCAUAGUUUAGUAAAACAUUAGGUUGUGGACCUAAAGACAGAGGCUAAACCCCUCUUUCUGACCAAA
rnacentral:tRNA from 1 species